GNCUUCGGGCUUUGAAGCAAAGGCGAGAUAGCGGCGGACGGGUGAGUAACGCGUGGCUUAUCUGUCCCAGGGAGGGGGAUAACGUCUGGAAACGGGCGCUAAUACCCCAUAUGCCUAAAAGGUGAAAAGGAGAAAUCCGCCCUGGGGUGAGGCCGCGUCCUAUCAGCUCGUUGGUGAGGUAACGGCCCACCAAGGCUAUGACGGGUAGCCGGCCUGAGAGGGCGGCUGGCCACACUGGGAUUGAGAUACGGCCCAGACUCCUACGGGAGGCAGCAGUGGGGAAUAUUGGGCAAUGGGGGAAACCCUGACCCAGCGACGCCGCGUGGAGGAAGGAGCCCUUCGGGGUGUAAACUCCUGUUGUAAGGGAAGAAGACAGUGACGGUACCUUACGAGGAAGCCCCGGCAAACUACGUGCCAGCAGCCGCGGUAACACGUAGGGGGCGAGCGUUGUCCGGAAUUACUGGGCGUAAAGCGCACGCAGGCGGAUGCGCGCGUCGGCUGUGAAAUGCACCGGCUCAACCGGUGCACUGCGGUCGAUACGGCGCAUCUGGAGUGCGGGAGAGGGAAGCGGAAUUCCCGGUGUAGCGGUGAAAUGCGUAGAUAUCGGGAGGAACGCCGGUGGCGAAGGCGGCUUCCUGGCCCGCAACUGACGCUCAUGUGCGAAAGCCAGGGGAGCGAACCGGAUUAGAUACCCGGGUAGUCCUGGCCGUAAACGAUGGACGCUAGGUGUGGGCGGUUUAUCCGUCUGUNCCGAA
rnacentral:rRNA from 1 species